CUUCAGCGAGCCGAGCCACAGCGGCUCGUCACCCGCACGCUCCUGACCGUAAGUGGACAGGAGGGCCUGGGCCUC
rnacentral:antisense_RNA from 1 species